UACGUAGGGUGCGAGCGUUGUCCGGAAUUAUUGGGCGUAAAGGGCUCGUAGGCGGUUUGUCGCGUCGGGAGUGAAAACCAUGGGCUUAACUCAUGGCUUGCUUUCGAUACGGGCAGACUAGAGGUAUGCAGGGGAGAACGGAAUUCCUGGUGUAGCGGUGAGAUGCGCAGAUAUCAGGAGGAACACCGGUGGCGAAGGCGGUUCUCUGGGCAUGAUCUGACGCUGAGGAGCGAAAGUGUGGGGAGCGAACAGG
rnacentral:rRNA from 1 species